rnacentral:rRNA from 1 species
GAUGCCUGUCGAGCUUGCUCACGGGCUUUCUAUCAUAUCCAUAACACCUGUGCACUUGUUGGAUGAUCUAAAGACAUAGGGUAAAACCUAAAGUCAAUAGUCAUCCACUUACACUAAACAAUAAUGUAACAAAUGUAGUCUUAUUAUAACAAAAUAAAACUUUCAACAACGGAUCUCUUGGCUCUCGCAUCGAUGAAGAACGCAGCGAAAUGCGAUAAGUAAUGUGAAUUGCAGAAUUCAGUGAAUCAUCGAAUCUUUGAACGCACCUUGCGCUCCUUGGUAUUCCGAGGAGCAUGCCUGUUUGAGUGUCAUGAAAACCCUCAACCUUAGAUUGGUUAUUUGACCUUUCUUUGGCUUGGAUUUGGACGUUUGCCGAUGUCAAGUCGGCUCGUCUUAAAAGUAAUAGCUGGAUCUGUCUCGCGACAUGGUUUGACUUGGCGUAAUAAGUAUUUCGCUAAGGACAUCUUCGGAUGGCCCUGUUGCAGGACUAAAGACCGCUUUCUAAUCCAUUGAUCUUCGGAUUAAUAUUCAUAACAUCUGGCCUCAAAUCAGGUAGGACUACCCGCUGAACUUAAGCAUAUCAAUAAGCGGAGGAAA